GGGACAUUCCAUAGACAUAAUGGUUUAUUGUACCAACUGUAUUUUCUAUCCCCUUACCCUAAACUCACCUUUUACACAAAAUGUUCUGCAUUUUUAAAUCUUCAAAAACUUCAAUCCGUAUGAUUUAUUAGCUGUUUUCCUCAUAGGGACCAAAAAAAAGUGUCUGGAAUUUUACUGGAUUUACUGGAAUUACUAUCCUUGUGGGGGACAUUUGGUCAGAACAAUGGAAACAUGGGUCAGUUUACAUCCUCACGCAACUCACCCAAUUUCUCAUUUGCCCGUCAUGCGCCACGUUGUUUAAAUAGCAAAUGCAUUUGCGCCCAUCUGUGCGCCCAUGGGCGUGCUGGUCUUAAAAAGAGGUGUGUUCAGACGCAUUGUUGGCUCGUUGCUAUUUUGAGGAACUGAAAAUAGACUGCGCCAUAGACCAACUCAAACCUGGUCUAAAGUCUGGCGCAAUAUUUUUUCUUUGUUUUUUAAGGAUUGCGUUAUAGGCGGGCCCACAGCGCGCGUACAGCCUGCUUAUUACACACAGGGACGCACAGCAGCAAACAAAUUGGCCAAAUAUUAAAAGUUUAAAGAUUACAAUGUAAAAUAAUAUUAUUGUGUAGGCUACAUAAAUAUAAAAAUGCCUACAUGUCAUAAUGGAUAGUCAUCGCAUGUAUCAGAAUUAGGAUAUGAGCAGGAGCAGCUCCUCUCUGGAGACGCGUUCUGUCUUUGCGCUUGCCAAAUUCCGCCGUGUAAAUAGCAAAUCCGUCAUGGCACGAGCGCAACUGGCUCCUAAUGGGAAUGGGAGAUGACACUAUGAUUGGUUUAUUGCACGUUGCGCCCAAAAAACACCCAUUACUCAUUAAGAGGAUAGGGACAACCCGUUUAGACUAUGCGCCAGGGCGCGCCAACCUUUUUCCCUCCACACUUUUUCUAACAUUUCUUACAUUCCUACAAUUUCACAUUUUUACCUUAUUCAGCACUUCUGCUUUGUUAUAUUUAUUGUGCUCGUCAUGUUUAUUGCUCAUUAUAUUUAAUGUGCUCUUAUGUCUGAUCCCUGUUGUCAUGAACACGUGUGUAUACUUGUUUUGUCUUUGCACCUUGGUCCGUCAGAAACGACAUUUCGUUCUUUUGUAUACUGUGUAUGUGAAAGAACGACAAUAAAGUUGAGUUGAGUUGAAUACCAGGCACACACUAACACACAAAACUUUUCAUUUAAUGUGAUUGCAGACUUUACACCCCAUUUUAAAAUUAAGCAGAAUUUGGAAUCAGAUCAGACAAGGAAUGGUCUAUGGUCAAAAUCCUUUGUCAUAUACGUC
ensembl:lncRNA